rnacentral:rRNA from 1 species
AUACGUAGGUGGCAAGCGUUGUCCUGAUUUACUGGGUGUAAAGGGCGUGUAGGCGGAGAUGCAAGUCAGGAGUGAAAUCUAGGGGCUCAACCCCUAAACUGCUUUUGAAACUGUAUCCCUUGAGUAUCGGAGAGGAAGGAGGAAUUCCUACUGUAGGGGCGAGAUGCGUAGAUAUUAGGAGGGACACCAGUGGCGAAGGCGGCCUGCUGGACGACAACUGACGCUGAGGCGCGAAAGCGUGGGGAGCAAACAGGAUUAGAUACCCUGGUAGUCCACGCUGUAAACGAUGAAUACUAGAUGUGGGGGGACUGACCCCCUCCGUGCCGCAGUUAACACAAUAAGUAUUCCACCUGGGGAGUACGAUCGCAAGAUUGAAACUCAAAGGAAUUGACGGGG